rnacentral:siRNA from 1 species
AUAAACCGCUGCAGACCAAGUUUA